AGCUGCCGAGCAAUUGACAAAAGCGACGGGAGCGGGUCAGUGACGUUUCUCGAAUUAGGCAAGCUGUAAGUAAAAACGGCAAGAUCGUAUCGCGGUGGCUCUUUUAUGGCCAUAGGCAUUGUCGGUAUCGGUUGCUCUCCAGUCACUUUGAUCGUAGGUAAAGAAAAGAAAAAAAGGAAAAUACGAAAAAAGUAUGCUUGGAUUCCUGGGAGUGAACGUGGAUGGUGGUAGGGAUGAAUGCUGGGACAUCUGGAUGGACAACGUCGUAUUUCAAAUUCGAUGCGGAAAACUGUACGAAAUUCGAUGUGCUUCGCUACGCUGUAAAAUAGGUGUAUGGCGAUCUGCGCUGGGAAAUAUAUUAAAUAUAAGAUUUAUCUUAUGGCCAUACAGACUGUGCGAGGUGUAAUAUAAAUUUUGUUCUAUUACCAAUGAAAAUCUGGCAAUGUCCCAUGACCAAUUUUACCGCUGCGGUUUUUUCACAGUAUAAUAAAUCAACGUUAAUGCUCUUUUCGGUCUUAUGCACAUGGUCAAAUAGGGGAUAUUGAUUCGCGCCGAGGUCAGACUGUUUUAUUAGCGGGAAGCUUCGUAAAUUUCGAUAGAAAGUUCCCACGAGUUUUUUUACCUUUUUUCUUGUUUUCUCUUUUCUAAUUCUUUUUUUUUUCGUUUCGAUAGUAGGAUAGACGGUGGCGCAUCUCAGUGUCACCUGGCGUCCUAUCAAAUAACAGCAUAUAGGUACCAUUUGCGCCGGACAGUAAGUAAUGGAAAAAAUGUUGACAGUCUGGUUGAUGAAUUUUGAAAAAGUGUCGAUACUAGAGGAUAUCGGAAAGAAGUCAAAAAAAAAACUUUCUGAAAGGAUGCCCUGACCAAUGACUAUUAUUUCGCUUGACGAACAGAAAAAAAUAUCUAGACAAAAAAUAUUUAUCCUUUACAAGAUAAAUCAAUUAAUAUCUAUUAGUACCGAAUUAGCUGAAAUGUCAUUUGCGUUCGGGGAAUUUCUGUAAUUCCCAAAGUCAAGAAAUUCUCGAAAUUCUAGUGAAAAUGGUUAAUCGAGAAUGUCAGGGAAAAAUGUUUUUGUUAUUGGUUUCAAAAAAAAAAAAACUUUCAAAAUAUUCAAAUAACUUAUGCUGACAACCAUGUAAUUUUGAAAUUCCCACCAUUAAGUUACCUGUCGACACGCUAACUGUCUUACGGCAUUUGGUUGACUGAUGAUUUAUAACAUUCAAAUAUUCCCGCCAACUCCUGACUAGUCUUCUUUAACGUCCAAGUAAACAAAUAGCUCAAAAUUAAUCGUCGAUCUUACGUGACGAGUAGAUUUUUCUCCCAAUGAAGUUCAGCAAGUUGGUUCCAAGAAAUUUCCAAAAUAUUCGGCUCCCAAAUCUCUACCGAUUUCGAUUCCCUUGAUCGUCGACGUAUUUUAUUUAUUUUUU